rnacentral:rRNA from 1 species
GAUGAACGCUGGUUUCGUGCCUAAUACAUGCAAGUCGAGCGAACGGACGAGAAGCUUGCUUCUCUGAUGUUAGCGGCGGACGGGUGAGUAACACGUGGAUAACCUACCUAUAAGACUGGGAUAACUUCGGGAAACCGGAGCUAAUACCGGAUAAUAUUUUGAACCGCAUGGUUCAAAAGUGAAAGACGGUCUUGCUGUCACUUAUAGAUGGAUCCGCGCUGCAUUAGCUAGUUGGUAAGGUAACGGCUUACCAAGGCAACGAUGCAUAGCCGACCUGAGAGGGUGAUCGGCCACACUGGAACUGAGACACGGUCCAGACUCCUACGGGAGGCAGCAGUAGGGAAUCUUCCGCAAUGGGCGAAAGCCUGACGGAGCAACGCCGCGUGAGUGAUGAAGGUCUUCGGAUCGUAAAACUCUGUUAUUAGGGAAGAACAUAUGUGUAAGUAACUGUGCACAUCUUGACGGUACCUAAUCAGAAAGCCACGGCUAACUACGUGCCAGCAGCCGCGGUAAUACGUAGGUGGCAAGCGUUAUCCGGAAUUAUUGGGCGUAAAGCGCGCGUAGGCGGUUUUUUAAGUCUGAUGUGAAAGCCCACGGCUCAACCGUGGAGGGUCAUUGGAAACUGGAAAACUUGAGUGCAGAAGAGGAAAGUGGAAUUCCAUGUGUAGCGGUGAAAUGCGCAGAGAUAUGGAGGAACACCAGUGGCGAAGGCGACUUUCUGGUCUGUAACUGACGCUGAUGUGCGAAAGCGUGGGGAUCAAACAGGAUUAGAUACCCUGGUAGUCCACGCCGUAAACGAUGAGUGCUAAGUGUUAGGGGGUUUCCGCCCCUUAGUGCUGCAGCUAACGCAUUAAGCACUCCGCCUGGGGAGUACGACCGCAAGGUUGAAACUCAAAGGAAUUGACGGGGACCCGCACAAGCGGUGGAGCAUGUGGUUUAAUUCGAAGCAACGCGAAGAACCUUACCAAAUCUUGACAUCCUUUGACAACUCUAGAGAUAGAGCCUUCCCCUUCGGGGGACAAAGUGACAGGUGGUGCGUGGUUGUCGUCAGCUCGUGUCGUGAGAUGUUGGGUUAAGUCCCGCAACGAGCGCAACCCUUAAGCUUAGUUGCCAUCAUUAAGUUGGGCACUCUAAGUUGACUGCCGGUGACAAACCGGAGGAAGGUGGGGAUGACGUCAAAUCAUCAUGCCCCUUAUGAUUUGGGCUACACACGUGCUACAAUGGACAAUACAAAGGGCAGCGAAACCGCGAGGUCAAGCAAAUCCCAUAAAGUUGUUCUCAGUUCGGAUUGUAGUCUGCAACUCGACUACAUGAAGCUGGAAUCGCUAGUAAUCGUAGAUCAGCAUGCUACGGUGAAUACGUUCCCGGGUCU